rnacentral:lncRNA from 10 species
CAGGAUGGUCUUGAUCUCCUGUCCUCGUGAUCCGUCCACCUCGGCCUCCCAAAGUGCUGGGAUUACAGGCAUGAGCCACCGUGUUCGGCCAAAGAUAUCUUUCAAUCUGGCUAUGCCAACUGUGGGGGGAAUAAAGUUGCUUAGCAACGUGGAAAUGGGAGAAGCUAUAAGGCUUCCCAGUGUUCACGCAAUCGUCCCUAUUUCUGUGCCUCUUCUACCUUUCAUCCCAGAGGUUAACUGGUGCUGUGAAUUCUGAAAUGUGUCAGACCCACACUGCAGUCUGAAGGCUCUCUCGACCUACGCUUGCUCCAUCUCCCGUUUAUCCUCCAUUUAUGUUUCCUCUAAUAAAUUCUUGCACAUCUAACUUUGUCAUGUCAUCUGCUUCUCUGAGGACUCAAAUUAUCACCUGGGAUUUUGGAAAGAAGUUUUAUUAGAUGUCUAGUCCACUG